rnacentral:rRNA from 1 species
GACGAACGCUGGCGGCGUGCUUAACACAUGCAAGUCGAGCGGAAAGGCUCCUUCGGGGGUACUCGAGCGGCGAACGGGUGAGUAACACGUGAGUAAUCUGCCCUUGGCUUUGGGAUAGCCACCGGAAACGGUGAUUAAUACCGGAUACGACCACUUCACGCAUGUGAUGGUGGUGGAAAGUUUUUCGGCCAGGGACGUGCUCGCGGCCUAUCAGCUUGAUGGUGAGGUAAUGGCUCACCAUGGCUUCGACGGGUAGCCGGCCUGAGAGGGUGACCGGUCACACUGGGACUGAGACACGGCCCAGACUCCUACGGGAGGCAGCAGUGGGGAAUAUUGGACAAUGGGCGGAAGCCUGAUCCAGCAACGCCGCGUGAGGGAUGACGGCCUUCGGGUUGUAAACCUCUUUCAGCAGGGACGAAGCGCAAGUGACGGUACCAGCAGAAGAAGCACCGGCCAACUACGUGCCAGCCGCCGCAGUAAAAC